rnacentral:lncRNA from 1 species
GCCUAGGCUCACCUAGUAAGCCUGCCACCUGAAUACAGCACACCUCCUCAAUGCUUGUUAAAAAUGUCUCACUACCACUAAAAGAUGCUGGAGAUACUAUGUGGUAGAAUGCCUUACUGCUUACAUAUGUUCCAUUUUCCAACAGCUAAUCACCUUUCCAGACCCCGUCCUUACUGGUAGAAGGAGAAAAUUGAUAUCCUGAGCAGGAGGUGGCUAGAGGCUUUCUAGGAUUGGUAGGGAAGUGUUUAAGGAGAUCCUCAGGAAAUGGAGUUUGCCUGGGUCUGACUGUGAGCUAGGGUAAAUUCUGUGUUACUAACCAUUUUAACUAUUAACUGUUUUAUCCAUCCAAGAUAUCAGGCUCAAACUGUCCUCAUAGCACUCAUUUUUCAGUGAUGCAUUUAUAAAUUCGUUGGAAUAAGUGGAGUGAGAAUGUUUUUGCAAAUCUGAGCAAGCAGAAGGGGUUUAGGGGGCGAGCAAUAUGCCUAAAUGGUGACAGUCUUUUUUAAAUAAUUGAUUGCUGGGGGGGUAAAAAAGGCGAAGUUUAAACAUCUGAAAUGUGAAAUCUGUUGGAGUGAGAUACUUUGAAAAGACUUCAAAAUGAGCACCAGCUGUCGCCCUAUUAAAAAUCUGUGGCCAGAUUGUGGAAGGUCUGGCUGAGGGUUCGCAAUCUCACAGCACCAUUUGUCAACUGAAGAUGAGAAAAGAACUCGGAACAAUUGGAUUCAAGCCUCGUUCUGCCUCACUUUUAUAGCCUCUUUUUACAGUUUCUCACUGGGUCUGGAAAGAAUGCUAAAAGUCAGAUAAUGGAAAGACGUGGCAGUUUUCUGGAGCACUGGAGGGUUCCACAGGAGCUGCCCCCAGAUGCCUUCUGUAUUGCCUGGACCUGGUGCUUCCAGCUGUCAGCUCUGGAGCUGAUAUAGCAGCCCUGUGUUUGAGCAGCUGCAGCCCUGGGAAAGUUGUCUUACAGAGUGAAAGGACACCCAGGCUUCUGGCAGAACUGCCAGGUGGCCUCACAGGAGAUACCUACGUGGACAUAGGACAUCAGUUCUGGGAACAGCUGUUGGUGACUCCUGUUUUCCUGGAAGGAGCCCAACAAGCUUCAGAUGACGGCUGUGGAUGUGUUUCAGGUAGAGCUGCUUGGCAGGAGGUACAGUUAGACUAAAACUAGAUGCCAACCUCAUCAAAUAGAAUAAAAAGAAAAAAAUGAGUUUGAAAAAGAAAGAA